rnacentral:rRNA from 1 species
UACGAAGGGGACUAGCGUUGUUCGGAUUUACUGGGCGUAAAGCGCGCGUAGGCGGAUCGCUAAGUCAGGGGUGAAAUCCCAGGGCUCAACCCUGGAACUGCCUUUGAUACUGACGGUCUGGAGAUCGGGAGAGGUUGGUGGAAUUCCGAGUGUAGAGGUGAAAUUCGUAGAUAUUCGGAGGAACACCAGAAGCGAAGGCGGCCAGCUGGCCCGAUACUGACGCUGAGGCGCGAAAGCUAGGGGAGCAAACAGG